rnacentral:misc_RNA from 1 species
GAAAUGCGAUAAGUAAUGUGAAUUGCAGAAUUCAGUGAAUCAUCGAAUCUUUGAACGCACCUUGCGCUCCUUGGUAUUCCUUGGAGCAUGCCUGUUUGAGUAUCAUGAAAUCUUCAAAGUAAAUCUUUUGUUAACUCAAUUGGUUUCUACUUUGGUAUUGGAGGUCUUUGCAGCUUCACACCUGCGCCUCUUUGUUCAUUAGCUGGAUCUCAGUGUUAUGCUUGGUUCCACUCGGCGUGAUAAGUUAUCUAUCGCUGAGGACACUGUAAAAGGUGGCCAAGGUAAAUGCAGAUGAACCGCUUCUAAUAGUCCAUUGACUUGGACAAUACUUUUAUGAUCUGAUCUCAAAUCAGGUAGGACUACCCGCUGAACUUAAGC